AGGGUUAUAUUUAAUUAUAAUAUUUGACUUGCAUUCAAAAGGUGUUGAAAUGACAGACUAACCUUA
rnacentral:tRNA from 1 species